GUAGGUGGCAAGCGUUGUCCGGAUUUACUGGGCGUAAAGCGCGCGCAGGUGGCCCGCCAAGUCUGGGGUGAAAUCUCCCGGCUCAACCGGGAGAGGUCUCUGGAAACUGACGGGCUUGAGGAGAGCAGAGGAGAGUGGAAUUUCCGGUGUAGCGGUGAUAUGCGUAGAUAUCGGAAGGAACACCAGUGGCGAAGGCGGCUCUCUGGGCUCUUCCUGACGCUGAGGCGCGAAAGCGUGGGGAGCGAACCGGGAUUAGAUACCCGGGUAGUCCACGCUGUAAACGUUGGGCACUAGGUGUGGGAGGUAUUGACCCCCUUCCGUGCCCGAAGUUAACGCAUUAAGUGCCCCGCCUGGGGAGUACGGCCGCAAGGCUA
rnacentral:rRNA from 1 species